rnacentral:rRNA from 1 species
UACGUAGGCAGCGAGCGUUGUUCGGAGUUACUGGGCGUAAAGCGUGCGUAGGCGGUGUCUUAAGUUUGUUGUGAAAUCUCCCGGCUUAACCGGGAGGGUGCGGCGAAUACUGAGAUGCUGGAGUGCCGGAGAGGUAAGCGGAACUUCCUGGUGUAGCGGUGAAAUGCGCAGAUAUCAGGAGGAACACCGGUGGCGAAGGCGGGUCUCUGGGCAGUAACUGACGUGGAGGAGCGAAAGCGUGGGGAGCGAACAGG